CCUAAGGGUGGCAGCAGUGGGGAAUAUUGGACAAUGGGCGAAAGCCUGAUCCAGCCAUGCCGCGUGUGUGAAGAAGGCCUUCGGGUUGUAAAGCACUUUCAGUGGGGAAGAAAGCCUUGGGGCUAAUACCCUCGAGGAAGGACAUCACCCACAGAAGAAGCACCGGCUAACUCCGUGCCAGCAGCCGCGGUAAUACGGAGGGUGCGAGCGUUAAUCGGAAUUACUGGGCGUAAAGCGCGCGUAGGCGGUCUGAUAAGCCGGUUGUGAAAGCCCCGGGCUCAACCUGGGAACGGCAUCCGGAACUGUCAGGCUAGAGUGCAGGAGAGGAAGGUAGAAUUCCCGGUGUAGCGGUGAAAUGCGUAGAGAUCGGGAGGAAUACCAGUGGCGAAGGCGGCCUUCUGGACUGACACUGACGCUGAGGUGCGAAAGCGUGGGUAGCAAACAGGAUUAGAUACCCGAGUAGU
rnacentral:rRNA from 1 species